rnacentral:rRNA from 1 species
GCUCAGGAUGAACGCUAGCUACAGGCUUAACACAUGCAAGUCGAGGGGCAGCAUGGUCUUAGCUUGCUAAGGCCGAUGGCGACCGGCGCACGGGUGAGUAACACGUAUCCAACCUGCCGUCUACUCUUGGACAGCCUUCUGAAAGGAAGAUUAAUACAAGAUGGCAUCAUGAGUCCGCAUGUUCACAUGAUUAAAGGUAUUCCGGUAGACGAUGGGGAUGCGUUCCAUUAGGUUGUUGGUGAGGUAACGGCCCACCAAGCCUUCGAUGGAUAGGGGUUCUGAGAGGAAGGUCCCCCACAUUGGAACUGAGACACGGUCCAAACUCCUACGGGAGGCAGCAGUGAGGAAUAUUGGUCAAUGGGCGCUAGCCUGAACCAGCCAAGUAGCGUGAAGGAUGAAGGCUCUAUGGGUCGUAAACUUCUUUUAUAUAAGAAUAAAGUGCAGUAUGUAUACUGUUUUGUAUGUAUUAUAUGAAUAAGGAUCGGCUAACUCCGUGCCAGCAGCCGCGGUAAUACGGAGGAUCCGAGCGUUAUCCGGAUUUAUUGGGUUUAAAGGGAGCGUAGGUGGACUGGUAAGUCAGUUGUGAAAGUUUGCGGUUCAACCGUAAAAUUGCAGUUGAUACUGUCAGUCUUGAGUACAGUAGAGGUGGGCGGAAUUCGUGGUGUAGCGGUGAAAUGCUUAGAUAUCACGAAGAACUCCGAUUGCGAAGGCAGCUCACUGGACUGCAACUGACACUGAUGCUCGAAAGUGUGGGUAUCAAACAGGAUUAGAUACCCUGGUAGUCCACACAAUAAACGAUGAAUACUCGCUGUUUGCGAUAUACAGUAAGCGGCCAAGCGAAAGCAUUAAGUAUUCCACCUGGGGAGUACGCCGGCAACGGUGAAACUCAAAUGAAUUGACG